rnacentral:lncRNA from 1 species
CACCAAGAGAAGAGCACAGAGUUCUUGAGGCUUAGAAAACAUUGCCAUAUGAUCUGCAUCUUUGAUCUCCAUCACUUCUUUUACAGGAAAAUUGCUGAUCAUCCAACGCUGGUAAUCCUCAGGUAUUGCAAGGUCCUCUCCGCAUACGAUAUAAAUACGUGUAACAGAUCCGUACCCAUCCUCGCUAAAGUUUCUUGUCCCUGCUAGAUUGUCUGUAACUAUGGGGUUUACCCUCACCAACAUUUUCGCCAAUUCAAGAUCCUAACACGCCACAACAACAAUCAACAAAAAGAUUUACCUUUGAAAGUAGAGAUUAUUAUUAAG